rnacentral:tRNA from 1 species
UCCUUGGCGGUCUUGUGGUUAGGAUUCAGCACUCUCACUGCUGUGGCCCAAGUUCAAUCCCUGGUCUAGAAA